CUGCCCUCUGCUGGGUGAAAGUGAUUGGAGAAGGGGGGAGAGUAAAGCACAGCUUGUUAGCCUUCUACCUGCUUUCACCUGCUAUUUAUCGGAACUGCGGUGAGCAGAACUUGGACUGAGACACCCCUCAAAAGCUAACCUUACAAGAAAGAGGCAAGCUCAGGUGGGUGUGUUGAAGGCAAUUAAUCUGGAAGAAUGACCUUUUGGAAUGCCUACUUGAAACAAACCUGAGACUCCUAGAAAGGUCGAGAUCUCUGGUAGGACCUGGAGGUACAGUGAGGGCUUGCUUACAUGACAUGCCUCCUACUGCCUGUUAAGAACUGAGAGUAUGGACCUAAUUUUGUGCUGAGCAUUCACAACUCCAGCAUGCAUUAGUGGGAACCGAAGGACACAUCUCACCUCUUGCAAAUCACAUCCAGGGUACCUCACCACCAAGUCAACUCUGGCGCAUCAGAGGGGAACAAAAAAUAAUGAAUUCCAUGAGUCAGAAAAAUAAUAAAUUAACAGCAGCAACCAAUUUCCUACUUUUAAAUGGAAGGAAAUAAACCUGUAUUGCUCUGCUG